rnacentral:tRNA from 1 species
CGGGAUAGCUCAGCUGGAGAGGGCGGAGGAAACCAA